rnacentral:rRNA from 1 species
CUAAUUUGAUAUUAACACUAUUAGGUGGAUAGCUUGGUUUGGAUUGCGAUGAAGGACGUGGCAAGCUGCGAUAAGCUCAGGGUAGGCGCAUGCAGCCUUUGAACCUGAGAUCUCCUAAUGCGAAAACGUUCUCUUCGGAGAAUGCAGAAAUGCAAGCAUACGCCGGGAAUUGAAACAUCUUAGUACCGGCAGGAAAAGAAAUCAUUUGAGAUGCCCCCAUUAGCAGCGAGCGAAAAGGGCUCAGGGCGAACCGAAUCUUCCGUCGAAAGAUGGAUAGAGAUGUGGUGAGAAUAAAUAGCUAAGUUAUUGAAGAAAAGUUUUCUGGAAAGAAAUACCUCAGAGGGUGAUAGUCCCGUAUCUGAAAAUAAUAUGUUGUUUCUCGAUAGAGUAGGGCUUCCUAGAUAGGAUGUCUGAAUACGCGAGGAUUAACUCGCAACCCUAAACAUCAAUCCAAGUCCGAUAGCAAACAGAGUACCGCGAGGGAAAGCUGAAAAGUACCCAUAAACGGGGGUCAAAAGACUUGAAAUCUAAUAGUUACAUCUGGUUACGGCAUUAAGGUGUUGUAACGUGCGUUUUGAAAAACGAACCAAGGAGUUUAUCUAAGUGGCAAGGUUAAAAUGAAGCCGAAGCGAAAGCGAGUCCGAAAGGGCGAUAGUCACUUGGAUAAGACCCGAAGCUAGACGAUCUAAUCGUGAGCAGGACGAAGUUUUCCGAAAGGGAAAUGGAGGUCCGAACCAGUGUUAUGUGCAUGUACUUGGAUGACUUGCGAUUAGGGGUGAAAAGCCAAUCUAGUUUAGCGAUGGCUGGUUCCUGUCGAAAUAUGCCUCCGUAUAGUCUUAUUUAGUUUGGAGACGAGGUAAAGUACGGAUAGAGUUUGCAGACCCGCAAGGGUACGGAACUCUUUCCAACUCAGAACUUGUUUUCUGCAAAAAAUAGGAAUGGGGGGCAGCGCGUAAGGUGCUGUUCCGAGACCCGAACAAGGGAGACUAAAGUUAAGGUCCCAAAAAGUAUGUUAAGUGUGACAAAGGGAGUCUGAAACCUAAGACACUAGGGAUGUAGGCUUAGAAGCAGCCACCAUUCAAAGAAAGCGUAACAGCUCACCUAUCGAGGUUUUAGGCCCCGAAAAUGGACGGGGCUAAACAUACUACCGAUACUUUAGAGGCACUCGCAAGAGUGUUCUGGUAGACAGGCGCGGAUUCUGCGCAGAAGUUCUUCCGAGAGGAAAGAUGGAGCGGAAUCCGACGAGAAUCUUGGUGUAAGUAAGAUCAAAUUAUUCUGAGAACGAAUAACGUCGAAAGAGCGCGGUUUCCUUGGCACUAUCGUUUAACCAAGGGUUAGUCGGCGCCUAAGUCACACCUUAGCUGGUUGUGGCGAAUGGAAAUCUGGUUAAUAUUCCAGAACUAAUUAAACUCGUUAUUACAUAAAUCGCUUUGGGAUAAGCAGAGGUCCGGAAGGACUAAUGCGCAAGAAGUCUGUGGAUCAUAAUGAUUAGAAGCAGAGAAUUGCGCGUGAAUCUGCUGACUCCGAGAGCCCUUGAAAACUUUAUGUCUAGAGUUUAGUUAGCCGUACCUAGAACCGACACUGGUGCUCUGGCUGAGAAGGCCAAGACUAUACUCGGUGAGACCUGUCCAGUGGUGGUGUUUCAAACUUCAGUUCAAUGGAGCUAAGACCCAUCAAACGGCGGGCCUAACUAUGAGGCUCUUAAGGUUAAGUAACGCUAGCUUUACAUUAUCGUCGGUAAAACGGUAAUGCUCCAAGCUUCACAGUUAAGAAUAAACAGAAAAUAAAAAACCAAAAUGGAGAAAAUCGAGCUAUUUGCUGGAAACUCCGAGAAUAUCUAAAUACUCGUCGAUAAAUUUAAUUUCAUCGUCAGUAAAAAUUUUAGAUUGCGGACAAUCAGCAGGAAAGACGAGGAAAGUUUAAAUAAAGAAUAUCUGUAUAAGUUUUAUGGUAAUGUUAUCAACAACCGUGAAUAACAUACACAGAUAUGGUCCUGAAUGUAUGACUAAUCGUAGUUCAUUAGUAGACGGAGCAAGCUUAGAUGCGCUUGCAGAUUAUGUAUCUAGAUAUGAAUCCGAACUUAGAGAAUUUGAAAAAUUAUCUCUAGGUAGGAAGAUAAUUUCAUAUAUUUCAGGAGAUAAUCCAAAAGUUGAUAUGGUAUAUUUCAGUCUUGCUAAAAGAAGACUUGAACGAGAAAGCCAUAAGUAAUUCUCGAAUCCUCAGAAAGCAUUUUGUCGAAGACAAAUGCGAAGCAAUUAAUUCGCGAAGAUAAAGUCCGAACUUCAUAGCGAUAUGAAGAAUUGAAUUCAAUUAGAAUUCAGAUUAACAAAAUGAGCGUAAUGCCUUGUCGUCUGAAUGGCGACGUGCAUGAAUGGUUUAAUGAGGUGGUCGCUGUCCCUAACCAGAACCUUCUGAACUCAUCUACUGGUGAACACGCCAGUAAUGCCUAUUGGGAAGCAGAGACCUUGUGAACCUUUACUGCAACUUGUUGUUGUAGCUUUAAGGGGAAUGCAUAGAGUAGGUAGGAGCGUCGAUGUUGCAUUUUAGGAUGCAACGGAGCAACCCUGUAACACUACCUAUUUCCCUUGAAGUUGCUCACUCGCUUUAGCGGGGACACCAGCAGGCGGGCAGUUUGGCUGGGGCGGCACCCUGCAGAAAAGAUAUCUGCAGGGCCCAAAGUUAAGCUCAUCCAGGUCGGAAAUCUGGAGUUGAGUGCAGAGGCAAAAGCUUAACUGACUGCGUUUCGCACAGCAAAG